rnacentral:rRNA from 1 species
UCGGAGAUAGCUGGUUCUCCCCGAAAUAUAUUUAGGUAUAGCCUCAGGAAUUUUGUCCGGGAGGUAGAGCACUGAAUGGGUUAGGGACCCUACCCGGUUACCGACCCCAAUCAAACUCCGAAUGCCCGAGACAUGGACCCUGGGAGUCAGUGGGCGAGCGAUAAUGUCCGUCCGCGAGAGGGAAACAACCCAGACCGUCAGCUAAGGCCCCUAAGUGUGUGCUAAGUGAGAAAGGAUGUGGAUUUGCAGAGACAACUAGGAGGUUGGCUUAGAAGCAGCCAUGCCUUUGAAGAGUGCGUAACAGCUCACUAGUCAAGUGGAUCCGCGCCGAUAAUGGUCGGGACUCAAGCACACCGCCGAAGCUACGGAUGCGACCCCGCGUUCGCGUGGGGAAACAUGGUAGGGGAGCAUUCCCUGGGCGCUGAAGCGGACCCGUAAGGGCUUCCGUGGAGCGCAGGGAAGAGAGCAUGCCGGAAUGAGUACGCGAUAAACAGAGUGAGAAUCUCUGUCACCGAAAGCCUAAGGGUUCCGGAGCCAGGUUUAUCCGCUCCGGGUUAGUCGGUCCCUAAGCUCAGGCCGAAGGGCGUAGGCGAUGGGAAACAGGUCAACAUUCCUGUACCGUAAUGUGCGCGUUUGACCCUAAGGGGGGACGCGGAAGUGACAGGACCGUCGGGUGGUGGAAUAUCCGAUGUAAGGUGGUAGGCGAUGGGGGGUAGGCAAAUCCGCCUCCUUAGCCGAGCGCCGAUGCCGAAGGGGAACUCGUUCCCCGCAAAGGGUCCGUAAUCAUGCCGCCAAGAAAAGCCUCGUAGGGAAGUUCACAUUGCGACCGUACCUCAAACGGACACACGUAGGCGAGGCGAGAAGCCUAAGGUGCUCGAGUGAUUUGUGGAGAAGGAACUCGGCAAAAUGUCCCCGUAACUUCGGGAGAAGGGGAGCCCGUGUUAGGUGAACCCGCUGCAUGGGGGAGCCGAAGCGGGCCGCAGAGAAUCGGCCCAGGCGACUGUUUAGCAAAAACACAGGUGUCUGCAAAGUCGCUGAGACGACGUAUAGGCACUGACGCCUGCCCGGUGCCGGAAGGUUAAAGGGAAGGGUUAGGAUUCGUCCGAAGCUCCGAACUGAAGCCCCGGUAAACGGCGGCCGUAACUAUAACGGUCCUAAGGUAGCGAAAUUCCUUGUCGGGUAAGUUCCGACCUGCACGAAUGGCGUAACGAUCUGGGCGCUGUCUCCUCCACAAGCUCGGCGAAAUUGGAGUCUCGGUGAGGAUACCGAGUACCCGCGACAGGACAAAAAGACCCCGUGCACCUUUACUACAACCUGCUAUUGGGUCUUGGCACUACAUGUGUAGAAUAGGUGGGAGGCUUUGAACCAGGGCCGCUAGGUUCUGGGGAGCCAAUCGUGAAAUACCACCCUUGUGAUGUUGAGGCUCUAACCCAGGGGAGUGAAUCCUCCUCGGGGACCGUG